ACUAAAUCAGCGUGGGCCUGAUUCACAGCACCCUGGGCCAGGCCGAGCACCCCGAGAGGAGUGUGCGACCCUCCUGCAGCACAGGCAGUACUGGGCACGCAGCCUCCACAGAGCACCUUGAAAGGCAGCAGGUGUCCGGCCACGGCCCACCAUGGCUGCCCCUGGCCUAGAAGGCAAUGAUAUCAUGAGGAAUUAUCAGGUGGGGGGUAUUGAUAGAUCUGGACUGUCCCCUAAAGGCUCGGUGUUGAAGGCUUGGUCCCCAUGCAGCAGGGUCCCAAAGUGGGGCUCUGGGAAGGUGAUUGGACCCUGAGGGCUCUGACCUCACCAGUGGGUUAGUCCACUGAUGGAUUCACAGUGGGAUGGACCACAGGGAGGUGCUGGCCACUGUAGAAGGGGGGUCAUAGUUGAAGGGGGUGAUACCCUGGGGAACUAUAUAUUGCUCCCAAACAUACACACUUUCUCCCCGAUCCUGCCCCCCGUCUUUCUCUCUCUCUCCCCCCUCCCCCCUUCCUGGCUGCUGGGAACUGAGCAGCUAUCCUCUGUCACACCCUUCUCAUGAUAUUCCGCCUCAUCUCAGGCCAAAGCCAUGGAGCCAGCCCACCAUGGAUUGAAACCUCAGAAACCGAUGAAGUAUUUUCUCCUUUAAGUUGUUUUUCUCAAGUAUGUUGUCAUAGUGACAAAAAACUGACUACCACAGAAGUCUUAAGGUCUCACCCCAAUCCUAAGGGUCCCCCCCCUGAGAAUCAGCUUAGCUGAUUGGGCCAGGAAGGUAAGGGGAAGACUAAAGGGGAGAAGGGCCCACCUCUGUGAUGUCACCCUGUCCUCCAUGGCUAAAGUUCCUGUCCCCGUUCCCGUGGCUAUGGCUUCCAAAGUGGGAAGAACAUACCCUGGGAGUUAAAUAAUAAUAAUAAUAAUUAGGACAGCAGGAAGAAAAAAAUUGCAAUUUCCAUUUAUGUUUUAUCUUCAUUAGCUUUUCCCCUUCUAUUUCUUAAUAUCCUGCUCGCAGCCUUACAUGUAUAAAACUUAUAAAGUAAUACAAUUAUUUUGAAGGACAUGCAAAUCCAAAAUGAUCUUAGGUCCCUGCCCUGGGGAACCAGGGACAAUCAAAUUGUGCUUGAUUGAUUCAGGGGACCCAGGCGAGCAGGUUCGUUGGGGGUAAGGCCUGGAGUCCCAUGGAUUGAAGCACACAGGGGACCCACCUCAGGAAAGGGAGGAGGAGACAGAGGAGGGGAGAGCACAGGGCAGAAAAACCGAGCAGAUGACAGAGAAUCAGACAAGCUGAGUCCGGAAGCUCAGAGUCAGGUGAGUCCUGGGGGAGGCACAGGGAAGGGAGGCAGAACAGCGAGAGGCUGCUUCCCGGGAAAAGUCAGGGCGGGGCUGGCUAAUUAUAGGGAUGCCCAUUCUGGCCUUCCACCCCCAAUCCCUUCUGCAUCCCUCUGUAGCCAUGGGGGUUUGGUUCCAGGAUCCCCCACAGAUACCCAGCUCUGCAGAUGCUUGAGUCCUUUAUAUAAAAUGAUGAGGUAUUUGCAUAUAACCUAGGCAACAUCUCCAUGUACGCUUUCAAUCAUCUCUAGAUCGCUUAUAAUACAAAAUACAAUGUACAUGCCAUGUAAAUAGUUGUUAAACUGUAUCGUUUAGGGAAUAAGACAAGGGAAAGGAUCCUGCAUAUGUCUGGCAUGGAAGUAUUUUUUUUUUUUCAAAUAUUUCCAACCAGCACCGAAUUGAAUCCAUGAACAUGAGCCCCACAGGUACCCAGGUCUGCCUCUGUAUUCCUUUAUACUGGUUCAAACUGGAGAAGGACAGAGGAGCCACCUACAGCCAGGGGUGCUCCAAGUCCCUGGGAUUUUCCCUGGCUCAGGUGAGGAAAAGGAUUGCUUUUCCACUGGCCACAGGACCCCAUUGUCCUUUUUAGCAUCUGGGUGAUAAACCAGCCAAUUUCCUGUUGGGUUGCCUGAGCCAGGAGAUUUCCCACUGAUGACAUUUCUCCUGUGAUUUGCACCCAGGGGAAUCCUCCAAGGUAAUUGCUAUUAUCACACCACUGGGAGUUCAUCUUGGGAGCAUUUGGGUCUUGCUGAUUUAAUAACCCAAACCCUGGAGUCUAUGCUGUGGGGAAAACGUUCAACGUGAUGUAAAGAACGAGCCAGCAUCCAGCAUCUUCUCCUGCAGGUCAGACCCAAGCUUACUUAAGAGAGUAAGAGUAAAAAGUGCAAGAGGAACAUUGACUUGUUUAACUGACCAUAGAUCUUCCUGGCAAUUAUUUGCAGCAAAGAUAGGGGCCCUUUCCAAGGUCAUGGGCCUGGGCACGGCUGGGUGAGAAAAAGUGGGUGAUUGGCUUUUUCAAUGAGUUUGCUGAUUUUUCUAGCAGGUGGAUGUCUCUUCUUUCAGGCCUGGCGCUCAGCCUGGCCUCCUGGACCAGCUGUGUCUGGAUGAAGGCAAAGAUGAGGCUCCUGCCCUGGAGCCUGGAGCAGCCAAGACCUUGAGCCCAGACCCCAGCUCAAGGUGGAUCCCCCACCGCACCCUCUCGGAGGAGGCAGCCUGGAGGAGCAGCAGGCCACUGGGUGGGGAGCAGGGUGGGGUCACAGCGCCUGCGUCUGGGCUCGCAUGGCCCACGAUGGUUCCCUGGUUGGGCUCCACCCGACUUCCAGACUCGGAUUCCCCAUACGUGACCCAGAGGUGGUUUCAUGGGGUGGAACCUUCCAUUUUCAGAUGAAGACGUUGAGGCCUGUGGGAGCAUCCGUGACCUAGGGCCUCCGGUCGUUUCCUAACUGGAUUGCUUCAGGCCAGUGUGGCCGUCCACCCUGUGGGAAGGCGCUGGGAGGCAUGGCCUGCAUCUUGUCCUCAGACUUGACCUUGGGCAAGUGCUCGGGUCUCAAUGACGAAUGAUUGACUCACUGUGUGAACGAGUGGAUGCACGGACGGAGUGGCAGCCGACCCGGGAUGCCCAGAUCCAGGUCUGGGGCUGGGUGGCACCUGGCUCAGGUAAGCACUGAUACACAGUACCCAGCGUCAUGGCGGAAGGACCCCGCUUUUCCAGUUACAGGAAAUCUGGGUGAAGGAGCAUCAGGGAGACCAUGGCCCUUGGACUGCCCUGCAGACUGGGGCAGGCACGGGAGCGCCAGUCUGGGGGAAUGUCACCCCACACGAAAGGGAUCUCUCGCUAGUGACUCUGCCCUCUGAAUCAGAGCUGACGGGGCUGAGUGACCAGGUGGGUGGCGAUAGGGUGACCUAUCUCAUCCUCCUUUGUAGUAUAGACUUGUCUUCCUCCUGACUGGAGGAAAGAGGCAAAGACCAUUUUUAUUUAUCCCCUCAAUGGGCUUGAAACCUCUUUCCUGCCCUCUCAUAUCCUUUCUUUGCAUCCCCUCUAUCUCUAUCCCCCUUUAUUGAGUCUAAGGCCACUUGAGUGUACAGCCUGAGAGUGGCAUCUAUCUGGAGUUGUGCAGUGUUCAACCAGGGUAGCUGUAUAUAGCAGCCCUGAAAGACUCCCAGAGAUUCAGAGCUCUGAGACCCUAGAGAGCCUGGAUCAUAAUCUCUCAACUUAAAAGGGAAGAAAUUGAGGCUCCAUGUGGAGAAAAGAUUUUUUCAAAGUCUUUGUGUUCAUCAGCUUUGUGUCACUAUGACCAAAAAUGCCUGACAAGAACAGCUUGGAGAAGGAAGAUUCAUUGUGGCUCACAGUCUCAGAGGUUCAGUCUAUGGUCCAUCGGUUCCAAGGGAGAGAAAUCGUGGUGGAAGCUCAUGGCAGAGGAGAGCUGCUCAGCUCAUGGCAGCCAGAGAGCAGAGAGAGAGAGGGGAGGAGGGGGGAGUGGGGAGGGAGAGAGAGGGGACGUGCCUGGGGAGAAGAAGAAAUCUUCCAGGGCAUGCUCCAACUAGGAUCUCCUCCAACUAGGACCCACCUGCCUGUCAUUUUUACCACCUCCCAGUAAAUACAUUCAAAUUACGAUCCAUCAAGUGGAUUAAUCCACUGAGGAGGUCAGAGCCCUCAUCAUCCAAUCUUUCCACCUCUGAACACUGCAGCGUUGGCUAGCUCAUGAGCACUGUGCAGCCACACCACGAGAGCCAGGCUCAGUGACUUGAUGACCUGUUGGAAUGUCAGCCAGCAGCUCCUGGGUCUGUUCACGAGUUGGUAAUGGGGUUCAGGUCAAGGAGGUAGAGAUGGGGACGUCCCCGUGCUUCCUUGCAGGGUAAAAAGCAGACGUUCGACAUGCUGGAGUGGACACUGCGGCUCCAUCCCACGCCGUGGGCGUGACCUUGGGCAGAUUCUGCAACCUUUCUGGGCUCCGGGUUUUUCAACUAUCCUCAUCCCAUUCCCCCACCCCCAUCUAGUGAGGACCAAACAAGGUGAUGCCAACAGGAAGGGCCUGGCUGGCACCGGGUGCGAGUUCCCUGUGGUCUCACUGCCCCCGCCAGGGCCUCCUCCCAGCCUCUGAGCCCGUGUUCUGCAUGUGUGUUACGUCUCUUCCCCACGGAAGCCAUUGAAAGGCAGGAACUGUUGCUGGGAAGAGAUAAAACCCUUGGCACCACUAAGCCAUUACCAGAGAUGUUUAACCAGCCCGUCCGCGGGCGGGAGGACACGCAUGAGAGCGUUUUAUCUUUCUCCCACAAAGGGAGAGCAGAGCCCGGUGCCAGGCCCGGAUGAAGGCUGGAUUUCUUUUCUUUUUUUUUUUUUUUUUUAAGAAGACAUUUAGGAUUCUACUGAUGCUUUGCUAACUCCCAGUCAAAUCACGACAUCAAGGAAAGAAAAACUCCAUUUUCUGCUAAGAUGUUGAAAUGGCCCUUGCCAAUUAGGCUGUGAGCUCUGGGCGGCGGGGGCCCGGGCAGGCAGCCUGGCACCGGUGCAUCACGUCUGUGCGCUGGAUCCCGUGAGCCCAGGACACUGCAGGAGUAGACACUCCAAGCCUACCUGGCACGACUUAAGUGAAGGGAGAGGCCUCCAAGGGCUCCCUCCUUGUCCCCCUCUGCUGUCCCAGGAUGUCCUAGAAGAGGCGUGUGAACUGUCAGUGACUAUCACUGUCAGUGUACAUCUACUUCAAAUUAGCAAAGACCACACUCCCAUGACAUCACCCACGAGAAAGACUGCAAAUACCACCUACCUGGGGCCUCCACUCCCCAGCCUCUGCUCCAGCUGCUGCUCCUGAAUUAACUCAUUUAGUCUCUAUGCAACUGUGGCAGCUUGAAGAAAGGUCCCUGGGUCUUCCCACUUCUCACAAGGAGAGGGAGUCUUGCUCUCAUCACCUUGAAUCUAGGCCAGUCCUGCGUCUGCUCUUACUAGUAGAAUGUGGUAGAAAUAGGCUGGGGCACUUUCUGGAUCAGGCCUUCAAGACCGGCAAGACUUCCAUUUCUUGGCAUGCCCUUUUGGGAGUCCUGGGACAUGAAGUAAGAAACCUGAUUAGGCUGGGUACGCCUGUAAUCCUAGCUUCUUGGGAGGCUGAGGCAGGAGGAACCCCAGGUUUGAGGCCAGCCUCGGCAACGUAGUGAGAAUACAUCUCAAAAUAAAAUAUAAAAGUGGCUGGGGAUGUAGCUCAGUGGUAGAAUGCCUGGGUUCAAUCCCUAGUACCUAGAACCAUGAAUAAUAAUAAGCAGCAGCAGCAGCCUGUCUAGCCUGGGACUGCCGUGCUCUAGAGAGGCCAUCAGUGAGCACUCUAAUUUGCAGUUUCAGUGGGGCCUAGCCUUUCAGUCAUUCCAGCCAAGAUGCCUGAUACAUGCCUGAAGUCAUCUGGGACCUUCCAGGCCAGCUGACUAUGGCCCGAGUUGAUGCCACGUGGAGAAGAAGCUCUAACCAGCCAAAUUCAGACUGAGUAACCUCCCCACAAAGUCAUCAGAUAAUGGGUGGAGAAAAUGGCUUUAUUAUGGAGCAAUCCGUAAGCAGAGCCACCACUUUGGAGGAGGACACAAUGGAGUGCCAUUUUACAGAUGAGAAGCUGAAGAUGCAGAAAAAGUUAGUAGUUUGUCCAAGGUCACACAGUGCUUAGCAGUAGAGCCAGGAUUCAAAACCCAGAUAGCCUGGCUCUGAAGCCUGAGCUCCCUAAACCUGGUCCUGACCACUCUCACAUCCAUGGCAGAUCCACCCCACCAGAGGCCAAGGCUGCUGGAAGCCAGGGGCAGAAUUUUAGCCCCACUCCUGGCAUGGAGAGGUGCUUAAUGUUUGCUCAGAGUGGAACAGGGUGGAGAAAUGAAGAGAGGGAGAGAUGUGUGGACGAAUGGGUGGAUGGAUGAGUGGUGGGUAGGUGAAUGGGUGGGUGGAUGGAUGGGUGGGUGGGUAGGUGGUAGAUGGUAGAUGGAUGGGUGGAUAGAUAAGUGGAUGGAUGAGUGGGUGGGUAGGUGGAUGGGUGGGUGGGUGGAUGGGUAGGUAGUAGAUUGUAGAUGGAUGGAUAGGUGGAUGGGUGGGUAGAUGGGUGGAUGUGUGGACUGGUGGGUGAAUGGGUGGAUGGGUGGGUGGUAGAUGGUAGAUGGAUGGGUGAGUGGAUGGGUGGAUGGGUAGAUAAGUGGAUGGAUGAGUGGGUGGGUAGGUGGAUGGGUGGGUGGAUGGGUAGGUGGUAGAUUGUAGAUGGAUGGGUGGGUGGAUGGGUGGAUAGAUGAGUGAUGGAUGAGAUGGUGGAUAGGUGGAUGGGUGGGUAGAUGGGUGGAUGUGUGGAUUGGUGGGUGGUAGAUGGUAGAUGUAUGGGUGGGUGGAUGAGUGAGUAGAUGGGAGGAUGGGUGGGUGGGUGGAUGAAUGUAUGGAUGAGUGGGUGAAUGGGUAGAUAGAUGAGUGGAUGGAUGAGUAGUGGGUGGGUUGAUAGAUGGGUGGAUAGGUGGAUGGGUGGGUGGGUGAAUAGAUGGGUGGUAGGUGGUAGAUGGUAGAUGGAUGGGUAAGUGGAUGAUUGGGUAGAUAGAUGGAUGAGUGGGUGGAUAGGUGGGUGGAUGAGUGCGUGGGUGGGUGAAUAGGUAGUAGAUGGGUGGUAGGUAGUAGAUGGUAGAUGUAAGGGUGGGCAGAUGGGUGGGUGGAAGGACAGAGGAAAGGAGAGAUGUUCAGAACAGUGGACAGAUGAUGGACCCGAGGGCUGUAAAGCCUGAGGAACGUGGAGGAGCCUGAAGUGUCGGGGACGUGAGCUUACUAGAGGUUCCACGUGGGGAGGAGGGAAGCAUGAGUGAUGUAGGGGCCUUGAAGGUGAGGAAGCCAACACCAGGCCCAGGGACAAGGCCCCCCUGACUGAUCCUGUGGUGCUGGGCCAUGGCUUCUCUUCUCCAGGGCCACCCGCGGAGUCUCCAGUAGAGAGGGGGUUGAUUUGGAGACUCAUAUUCUGGUGUCAUGUGCUGCCUCCAUUCCAUUUGAGGCACAGUCUUGACAAGGACCCAAAAAAGGGGCCACCAGGGAAAUGGAUGAAUCAGGUGCCGGGGCGUCCUGUCACUGGCUGGACACUAACUUUACCUCUGAAUGUCCCAAUUGCUCAGGGAAAAAAAAAAAAAAGAUCCAAUGUAGUUAAGGGUUCUGAUUCGGGGGACACUGGGGCACUGAUUGGUGUCUUAGACCCGAAACCAGCACCUACGAUCACUACAUGUGCAGAAGGUCUUCUCCGGCCCUCAGACACAUGCACCCCGCUUUCACUGUUGGGGGCCCUGCUCGGGAGCAUCGUUCCUCCUGAAAAUCUCAAACGUGCCUCGACUUGCGUCCUCUAGUCUCAAACAUGAACCCUCAGUCCUGGAGGUUUUGUCUUCUUCCCAGAGGGGUCAGUGACCCAGAUCUUCCAAAUCCCCAGAACCUUCUAGAGAAACGGGAGUCCCUGGGCUGGUUCUAACAAUGGUCUUCUUUUUAAGAUUGUAGGCAAACAGAAAAAUUUAAAUCAUCUUGUCCAAGCGUAUUUUUACAAGAAGAUUGAAAACGCCCGCCUCAGUGGACAUUCCCACUGGCGGCCACAGCAAGCUUCCAGGAUGCCAUCGCCAUGGUGCCGACGGCCAGGGUAUGGAGUUGGUGGAAACAGAUCAAAGGAGGUGAGCAAGCUGAUGUCGGAGAGAUGAAGACUUUCCCAACAAAGAAGGUGGUCUCUGUUCAGAAUUCAGAAAGAGCCAUUUGUCAUUCUGGGGGACUCUGCUCCGUAGAGACUCUUACAAAGGACGUUGGAUAACAUAAGGAGUGACCCAUAGAUGUCCACUGUCUGUGACCAGGACAGCAGUUUAGGAGCUACUGGAGAGGGGGAUAGUACAUCCAUGUCCAGCCACCGCUUCCCGGCCUCCUCUCCCCUGGGUCUCACCAAGGCAGAUCUGGGGAGAGUGCUGGAUCCCGGGCUAGGCUGGCUCAGCCAGUCUCCAUCCGGGCAUUUCCCCUCCUCCCCAGGGCACAUGCAUUUCAUUCACCAAUCUCUGCGCAAAGAACUAAUUGACCUCACUUCCACUCAAAUGAAGUGCUGAUCACUGAACAAGGAACUACCCUGCCAAGCCAAGGCCAGAAAUAAAUUAUUUUUAGAAAGUUAUAAUUUGAAGCAUCUGAAGAUGGGCUUCUCCAGGGAGUAGAGAAAGAAAGACAGCUAAAUCCAGACGUUCCACCAUUCCCCCCAUGCACUCCAUCUUCCUCACCCCCUGGACCUUUGUGCUUUCUGUUCCUUCCACCUGGAACGUCCCCCUGGGCCUCGCCUCUUCCAGGCACGACGCCCUCUGUCCUUCAAGGCUCAGACACUCCCCAUCUCCCCAUCUCGGCAGAAGCUCUCUAACAACAGGUCCUCUUGGCUCAUCUCAAAGAUUUGCUCUGUGGCUCUGGAGCCAGUGGCCUGGGCUCAACCAAAGACUCUGGGUUACCAGGUUGAUUCUGGUGAGUUACUAAAUCUCUCUGUGCUUUAGAGUCCCCUUCCAUGACAGGAGGACCAUCGAUCACCACAUCUGCCUGGUAGGGUUGUGAAGAGAAUUGUCAAAGGCGACAGCUGUUCACUGUGAUCAUCAUCCUUCCCGGGGCUGCAAGGUCAGGGCUGGGCAGCUCAGACUGGCUCCUGAACUGAACUGUGGGAACAAGCAGUUGGCAGCAGUCCCCUGGGAAAGCAGAGGCCCCGAGAGAGCUCCAAGAGAAACAGGGAGCCCAGGUAGAGGGUGGGGCUGGGAGUCCUGCUAAUUCCCGCCAUGCAGAGGUCUCACCAUGGCCAAGAUCUACCUGCCAACACUACGUCCUCACACGCAGAGUCCAGACGAGAUUCUCACGGGCAAACCCCGACUUCACCUUCCCACCAUCACGUAGAACGUAACAUUCUACACCAACUGAAGCAUGUGGGUGAGCAAAAUGUGCAGCUAAAUGACUAAGAAACGAUGAGUUUUGAAUAUUUAUUACUUUUCUUUUUGAUAUAAUGCUUAAUCAUUAGUUGACAGACUAUAAUGUUCAAUAAUGGCGGCAUUUAACAAGUAGCUGGCAAAAUUCC
rnacentral:lncRNA from 1 species